rnacentral:rRNA from 1 species
UACGUAGGGACCAAGCGUUGUUCGGAUUUACUGGGCGUAAAGGGCGCGUAGGCGGCAAUUCAAGUCAUCUGUGAAAUCUCCGGGCUUAACCCGGAACGGUCAGGUGAUACUGUUUGCUAGAGUGCGGAAGGGCAAUCGGAAUUCUCGGUGUAGCGGUGAAAUGCGUAGAUAUCACUUGGAACGCCAACGGUGAAAACAGCUCGCUGGGGGUAUCCUGACGCUGAGACACGAAAGCCAGGGGAGCAAAGCGGG